UUUUAAUAGCUGCAGUAAUUUAACUGUACAAAGGUAGCAUAAUAAUUAGUCUUUUAAUUGGGGUCUAGAAUGAAUGGUUUAACAAGAAGAAAACUUUAUUUUUAUAAUAAAAUUUUAAUUUAAUUUUUUGGUUAAAAAGCUAAAAUAUUUAAUUGGGACGAUAAGACCCUAUAGAUCUUAAAUUUUUUGUUGAUUAUACAUUUAUUUUUAGUAAAAUUAAUAGUUUUUAAUUAAAAAUUUUGGUUGGGGUGACUUAAAAAUAUUUAAAACUUUUUAAUAUUUUUACAUUUAUUGAUGUUUUAUUUUGAUCUUUAACUUUUGAUUAUUAGAUUAAGAUACCUUAGGGAUAACAGCGUAAUAUAUUUGGAUAGUUCAUAUUGAUAAUUUUUGAUUACGACCUCGAUGUUGAAUUAAUUUAAAUUUUUGAAGCAGAAAUUAAAAUUUUUGGGUCUGUUCGACCUUUAAUUAAUUACA
rnacentral:rRNA from 1 species